GAGCUUUAGCAAUGCAUAUUCAGUAGGUGUUAAUUCCAGGCGAUCCAAUGUAAGAAGCAGAUCUUUUACUUUAUCAAUGUCUUUUACAGCCUCAACUCUACAAACUUUCCCACACUGAACAAAGCUAAGGAGGAAUAUAUCAGUCCAGGAGCUUUGCAAAAGCAAAACUUGAUCAUUCUUAUCCAAAGACUUAAACGAAUGAGUUACAUUGACCCAAUCAAUCGAAAAAAAGAGAAGUCUUGUCACAAUUUCAUAAACAUAUUCCAUAGUGAGCUUACUAUCUUUGGGAAAUUCCAUUUCAAAAGCAAAUUCACAUUUGUCAGUCAAUUUUGAUUUAAAUGAGCCACUUACAGAGGGCAAGGUACAAUUUUGAAGUGAGCUAGAUGCACAUCUCUCCAUUUGUACAGCUGAAAAUAAAAUACAGUGUAAAAUGAACCUUUCGAUUAGCUAAUUCAAUCAUGCUAGUAAGCUUCUCUAAAAACAAACAAGACUGCAAUGUUAUUUUCAAGUUAGGCCAUCAUAGUUAAGUAAAAUUAUUAUGAACAACAACAGACAAAUUUUUGAAA